rnacentral:rRNA from 1 species
UACGAAGGGGGCUAGCGUUGUUCGGAAUUACUGGGCGUAAAGCGUGCGCAGGCGGCCAUUCAAGUCAGGGGUGAAAGCCCAGAGCUCAACUCUGGAACUGCCCUUGAAACUGUAUGGCUUGAGUACGAGAGAGGUGAGUGGAAUUCCCAGUGUAGAGGUGAAAUUCGUAGAUAUUCGGAAGAACACCAGUGGCGAAGGCGACUUACUGGACACAUAUUGACGCUGAGGUGCGAAAGCGUGGGGAGCAAACAGG